rnacentral:rRNA from 1 species
AUAUUAUUAAGCGGAGGAAAAGAAACUAACAAGGAUUCCCUUAGUAACGGCGAGCGAAGAGGGAAUAGUUCAACAUGAAAAUCAUUUUUCUUUGAGAAAUGAAUUGUAGUCUGUCGAAGAAUUUCUCGAGAUCGUCCUAAGCUUAGGUUGUCUGGAAAGACACAUCAGAGAGGGUGAAAGUCCCGUUCUCGGCUUAUUGGAAGUGAUUUCAUUUGUAGAAAUUCUUUCUGCGAGUCAGGUUGCUUGGGAUUGCAGCCCAAAUUGGGUGGUGGACCUCAUCCAAAACUAAAUACGGGCGAGAGACCGAUAGCGAACAAGUACCGUGAGG